GGGGAUGUAUUGGUUUUCGACAUACUACUAGAAGCAUAGAUAGCAAGUAGUGGAUGGUUGCUUUGGCCACUAUAAAAAAGCAAAAUUAAAUAUAAACGCUGAUAGAAACGAAUUAGCAUUAGCUGCCUAAGUUGCGGCUACACUUUACUAGAUAUCCCCAAUGUAUUUAGAUAAAGUGUCAUAUUAGUUGGGAAACAAAUCUACUUUUUUCUUGAAGGUAGAGGGUAAUUUAAAGAAUAUAUUUUGCUAAAACCUGUUUGUUGGUGUUAGCAAAAUGAAUAUAAAAAACAAACUAAACUUGUAGAAUUUUAUGUGGAAGGUAUUAUGGACAGGAGUUCGACUCUCCUCAUCUCCACCA
rnacentral:tmRNA from 1 species